rnacentral:lncRNA from 1 species
AAGUUACCCACGUUCACGUCCAUAAACUGACUAUAUGUGCACCCUAAUAACAUGACCGACCAACAAUUCAAUGCAACCCGCUCCAAAAAAAUCCUCGGUAAACUACCAUCGGCUGCCCAAGGACAUACAACUUUUGAAGAAGUGGCUCCAUGUCCUGAAGAGGAAGGACUUGCAAGCUCGAGCUAGUAGGAUCUGCAGACAGCAUUUCGCGGAGGCAGACUUCGCGAUGAAGGGCACUUACUAUGCGGCAACCGGGAGUUUCCGAAUAGAAAGGAGUCAUAGGCCUAUGUUGAAGCCCUCUGCCCUCCAUUUGACAUUGAGGGUUAUGGUGUAGGGGUUACCGACCGACCAUCAUCAAAAGCGACUGAACGGAGGAGUCGAUGCAAUGGAGCCCCAGCGGAUGAUGUUUUCAUCCUGGAGGAGACUGUGCAGGAGGCAGAUGCCUUAAUUGUUUUCUACCAACUGAAAGAAUGGUUAGUACAGCAUGCCAAACUGACCCCUUGGUGCCAGUGUUCCUGUGCUGCGGUGGAGAAGAGGUCUACCGGGACCAUCAUUAAAGAGUUCAGGGCCCAGCUAGAUUGCGCUCACGAUCAUCAGUAUACAACCGAGUCCUGCCCCUAUAACACAGAUGGAGCUGACAGAGAGUGAGAUCAAUGAAGACCAUAACUCACUGUAUGAACCUGAGGGCUCAGAAUCACAAUCAUCACAGUGCGAGCCAAGAUAUACUAUCGAUCAGCGGGAUGGUGUUCCGAAAAUAAAGAAGGAACUGGCCAUUCAACAGCGAAUUCAAAGAUACACCCAUCCAUAAAGGGAAUCGGAGUGGAAUUGUUUUUCCACUGAUUUAUUUUUCUUUUCAAUGGAUGUGUUACCUUGUCCCGGUUCUGCUGUUUCAACUCUCUCUCUCUCUCAACCUAUUAAUGCUCAGCAGUGAAAAGCCAACUGACAUUUGCUCCUGAGGUGUUGAACUGUUUCGCCCUCUAUAACCACUGUGGUUAUUAUUUUGAUGUAAAAAGGACUUUGUAAAAUAUCUUUGAUUGUUUGCUGUGCUGGAUGCUGUGUAUUCACUGAGUGAUGGGACAUUUUUAUAGUAUCUGUAACAUAUUUGGGGUUUAUUUAUUCUGCAUCUUAACUUCUUAAAGUGGUAAUCAGCAGUAGAAACAAUAACAAAGUGACUCCCUGCUCCUCUUUUGGUAAAAAGCUGAUGGAUGAGGCUGGAGAAAUGUAACCACUCUCAAAUUCAAAGACAGAGCUAUAGAUGCUAAGACUGACCAUCCAUGAUAUCAAAAUUGUAAUCCUGUUUCUAUGAUCUGUUUCCACUACCAUGUACCCAGUUCGCUUUGGAUAAAGGCGUCUGCUAAAUGGCAUAUAUUAUUAAAGUCUGCUUUGAC